GCCUUCGUGGUGUAGUGGUCAGCACACUCGAUGCGCAUUCGAGAGGUCCGUGGUUCGAGUCCCGGCGAGGGCA
rfam:Stegodyphus mimosarum contig60776, whole genome shotgun sequence.